AGAAGCAGGAGGCUACAGGCUGCUGGUUAUGCUAUUAACUGAAAGCCCCAGAAGUGCAUCCAGUACUAUCUCACAGCCCUUCAAGCUGGUCAACCACCUCUCCAAACAUUAACACCAGUGGCUCUUACUUCAAAGGUCCAAUCUUCAAGCCAAUGCUGGUUACCAAGGAGCGUGGAGGAGCCUUUGCAACGAAAUGCUUUGCUCACAGUCACUGUUCAUAGGACCUUCUGCAGGAAUGUCUGGACCAUUUGAAACAACCCCUGCCCAGAAAUGAUGCUUGGAAGAAAAGAAUUGAAGAUGCUUCAGUGUGAAGUGAACAGAGAUCGUCUUGGUCCAGAAAUCAGCUCUAAUGAUAAUCAGCUAAAUCUUGGCCAAGAAAAAUCAGUCUUUAGACAACUGUCUCAUCAUUAAGAUGAGUUAAUAAUUGUUCUCAAUACAU